GGUGGCUCAGUGGUGGAGUGCUUGCCUUGCAUGCAUGAGGACCUGGGUUCGAUUCCUCAGCACCA
rnacentral:tRNA from 1 species